rnacentral:rRNA from 1 species
CCUACGGGUGGCUGCAGUGGGGAAUAUUGGACAAUGGGCGAAAGCCUGAUCCAGCCAUGCCGCGUGUGUGAAGAAGGCCUUCGGGUUGUAAAGCACUUUCAGUGGGGAAGAAAGCCUUGGGGCUAAUACCCUCGAGGAAGGACAUCACCCACAGAAGAAGCACCGGCUAACUCCGUGCCAGCAGCCGCGGUAAUACGGAGGGUGCGAGCGUUAAUCGGAAUUACUGGGCGUAAAGCGCGCGUAGGCGGUCUGAUAAGCCGGUUGUGAAAGCCCCGGGCUCAACCUGGGAACGGCAUCCGGAACCGUCAGGCUAGAGUGCAGGAGAGGAAGGUAGAAUUCCCGGUGUAGCGGUGAAAUGCGUAGAGAUCGGGAGGAAUACCAGUGGCGAAGGCGGCCUUCUGGACUGACACUGACGCUGAGGUGCGAAAGCGUGGGUAGCAAACAGGAUUAGAUACCCCAGUAGUC